UAAGGGAAUCUUCCACAAUGGACGCAAGUCUGAUGGAGCAACGCCGCGUGAGUGAAGAAGGUCUUCGGAUCGUAAAACUCUGUUGUUAGAGAAGAACACGAGUGAGAGUAACUGUUCAUUCGAUGACGGUAUCUAACCAGCAAGUCACGGCUAACUACGUGCCA
rnacentral:rRNA from 1 species